rnacentral:rRNA from 1 species
GACGUAGGGCGCGAGCGUUGUCCGGAUUUAUUGGGCGUAAAGAGCUCGUAGGCGGCUUGUCGCGUCGACUGUGAAAUCCCGCGGCUCAACUGCGGGUCUGCAGUCGAUACGGGCAGGCUAGAGUUCGGUAGGGGGUAGCGGAAUUCCUGGUGUAGCGGUGAAAUGCGUAGAUAUCAGGAAGAACACCCGUGGCGAAGGCGGCUCUCUGGGACGGUACUGACGCUGAGACGCGAAAGCGUGGGGAGCGAACAGG